GGGGGCGUUUCGGUUUCGACGGGGGUGUGGAGCCGGGAUCAGCGGGCGGAUGCGCCUGGCAUCCUUAAAACGGGCAAUUAUAAAUUAAAGAACAACAAUCGUACUGUUCUUGCCGCUGCUUAAUUAGCGGCCGUCCCACCCGGGAGUUCCGCGGCCCGGGAUGGGGCGUCGAUCAGCGGAGAACGUGCGUGCGCUAAGCUUUGCGCGCACCAUGCAUCAUGAAGCUACUGAAUCCGACAGUGUGACGACUCACGGCCGGAGGAGGGAAUGUAAAGAAUCGUCUGCGCCCGGAGAAGGUCCCGAGGAAGUGCUUUCGGACAGGGGUUCGACUCCCCUCGCCUCCACCA
rnacentral:tmRNA from 1 species